rnacentral:rRNA from 1 species
ACGCUGGCGGCAGGCCUAACACAUGCAAGUCGAGCGGCAGCGGGAAGUAGCUUGCUACUUUGCCGGCGAGCGGCGGACGGGUGAGUAAUGUCUGGGAAACUGCCUGAUGGAGGGGGAUAACUACUGGAAACGGUAGCUAAUACCGCAUGACCUCGUAAGAGCAAAGUGGGGGACCUUCGGGCCUCACACCAUCGGAUGUGCCCAGAUGGGAUUAGCUAGUAGGUGAGGUAAUGGCUCACCUAGGCGACGAUCCCUAGCUGGUCUGAGAGGAUGACCAGCCACACUGGAACUGAGACACGGUCCAGACUCCUACGGGAGGCAGCAGUGGGGAAUAUUGCACAAUGGGCGCAAGCCUGAUGCAGCCAUGCCGCGUGUGUGAAGAAGGCCUUAGGGUUGUAAAGCACUUUCAGCGAGGAGGAAGGGUUCAGUGUUAAUAGCACUGUGCAUUGACGUUACUCGCAGAAGAAGCACCGGCUAACUCCGUGCCAGCAGCCGCGGUAAUACGGAGGGUGCAAGCGUUAAUCGGAAUUACUGGGCGUAAAGCGCACGCAGGCGGUUUGUUAAGUCAGAUGUGAAAUCCCCGAGCUUAACUUGGGAACUGCAUUUGAAACUGGCAAGCUAGAGUCUUGUAGAGGGGGGUAGAAUUCCAGGUGUAGCGGUGAAAUGCGUAGAGAUCCGGAGGAAUACCGGUGGCGAAGGCGGCCCCCUGGACAAAGACUGACGCUCAGGUGCGAAAGCGUGGGGAGCAAAC